CACCGGCGGCUCGAGUGGUGGCCACUUUUAUUGGGUCUAAAGCGUCCGUAGCCGGCUUGGCAAGUCCCCUGGGAAAUCUGGCGGCUUAAACGUCAGGCGUCCAGAGGAUACUGCCAGGCUUGGGACCGGGAGAGGUGAGAGGUACCUCAGGGGUAGGGGUGAAAUCGUGUGAUCCCUGAGGGACCACCAGUGGCGAAGGCGUCUCACUAGAACGGGUCCGACGGUCAGGGACGAAAGCUGGGGGCACGAACCGG
rnacentral:rRNA from 1 species